GAUGAACGCUGGCGGCGUGCCUAAUACAUGCAAGUCGAGCGAAUGGAUUAAGAGCUUGCUCUUAUGAAGUUAGCGGCGGACGGGUGAGUAACACGUGGGUAACCUGCCCAUAAGACUGGGAUAACUCCGGGAAACCGGGGCUAAUACCGGAUAACAUUUUGAACCGCAUGGUUCGAAAUUGAAAGGCGGCUUCGGCUGUCACUUAUGGAUGGACCCGCGUCGCAUUAGCUAGUUGGUGAGGUAACGGCUCACCAAGGCAACGAUGCGUAGCCGACCUGAGAGGGUGAUCGGCCACACUAGGACUGAGACACGGCCCAGACUCCGACGGGAGGUAGCAGUAGGGAAUCUUCCGCAAUGGACGAAAGUCUGACGGAGCAACGCCGCGUGAGUGAUGAAGGCUUUCGGGUCGUAAAACUCUGUUGUUAGGGAAGAACAAGUGCUAGUUGAAUAAGCUGGCACCUUGACGGUACCUAACCAGAAAGCCACGGCUAACUACGUGCCAGCCGCCGCGGUAA
rnacentral:rRNA from 1 species